AUGUACCAUUCAACCAGUUGGAAUCCACAAAAUUGGGGGUGUGCCUGCUAUAGUGGCCAAACGUAGCUCAGCUUCUCUUCUGGCAAAUGCAGGGGCCACUAUGGAAAGGAUAAAAAGACACGGAGGUUGGCGUUCAACUACAGUGGCAGAAGGUUAUAUCGAAGAAUGUGAAAAUACUAAAAUUAAGGUUGCAAACUUGAUCUUGGGUGAAGAACCAUUGGCCUGCAAUAGCAUCUCUUCGGAAAAUCACGAAAAAUUUACAAGUUUGCGUGGAACCGAGAGUGAAGCAAAAAACAACGAAGUUGUAGGAAUGAAUAUUUGUGGCAACAAUAAUAGUGUUAUAAAUGUAAAUCAUUAUUACAACAAGCAAUAGUAUGUUUAUAUGGUUACAAUGUUACAAAGUUGAUAUGUAUGUAUUAUUAUAACUUCAAAUAAAUUUUGACAUUUCUGAAAAUAAA